UACAGGGGGGCAAGCGUUGUUCGGAAUUAUUGGGCGUAAAGAGCUCGUAGGCGGUUUGUCGCGUCUGCCGUGAAAGUCCGGGGCUCAACUCCGGAUCUGCGGUGGGUACGGGCAGACUAGAGUGAUGUAGGGGAGACUGGAAUUCCUGGUGUAGCGGUGAAAUGCGCAGAUAUCAGGAGGAACACCGAUGGCGAAGGCAGGUCUCUGGGCAUUAACUGACGCUGAGGAGCGAAAGCAUGGGGAGCGAACAGG
rnacentral:rRNA from 1 species